GUGCCAGCAGCUGCGGUAAUACGAAGGGGCUAGCGUUGUUCGGAUUUACUGGGCGUAAAGCGCACGUAGGCGGUUUGUUAAGUCAGGGGUGAAAUCCCGGAGCUCAACUCCGGAACUGCCUUUGAUACUGGCAAGCUAGAGUCCGGAAGAGGUGAGUGGAACUCCUAGUGUAGAGGUGGAAUUCGUAGAUAUUAGGAAGAACACCAGUGGCGAAGGCGGCUCACUGGUCCGGUACUGACGCUGAGGUGCGAAAGCGUGGGAGUAAACAGGAUUAGAUACCCUGGUAGUCCACGCCGUAAACUAUGAGAGCUAGCCGUUGGAAGUUUACCUUCAGUGGCGCAGCUAACGCAUUAAGCUCUCCGCUGGGGAUACGGUCGCAAGAUUAAACUCAAAUGAAUUGAACGGGGCCCG
rnacentral:rRNA from 1 species